rnacentral:rRNA from 1 species
UGGGGAAUAUUGGACAAUGGGGGCAACCCUGAUCCAGCCAUGCCGCGUGUGUGAAGAAGGCCUUCGGGUUGUAAAGCACUUUAAGCGAGGAGGAAGGUCUUUGAACUAAUAUUUCAAAGAAUUGACGUUACUCGCAGAAUAAGCACCGGCUAACUCUGUGCCAGCAGCCGCGGUAAUACAGAGGGUGCAAGCGUUAAUCGGAAUUACUGGGCGUAAAGCGCGCGUAGGCGGUAUGUUAAGUCGGAUGUGAAAUCCCUGGGCUCAACCUAGGCAUUGCAUCCGAUACUGGCACACUAGAGUGUGGGAGAGGAAGGUAGAAUUCCAGGUGUAGCGGUGAAAUGCGUAGAGAUCUGGAGGAAUACCGAUGGCGAAGGCAGCCUUCUGGCCUAACACUGACGCUGAGGUGCGAAAGCAUGGGGAGCAAACAGG